rnacentral:rRNA from 1 species
AACGAACGCUGGCGGUAUGCUUAACACAUGCAAGUCGAACGAGCUAACUUAGGGCUUGCUCUAGGUUAGUUAGUGGCAAACGGGUGAGUAACGCGUGGGAAUCUACCUAUCAGUACAGAACAACAUUUGGAAACAAAUGCUAAUACUGUAUAUUCUCUACGGAGGAAAGAUUUAUCGCUGAUAGAUGAGCCCGCGUCUGAUUAGGUAGUUGGUAGAGUAAUAGCCUACCAAGCCAACAAUCAGUAGCUGGUCUGAGAGGAUGAUCAGCCACACUGGGACUGAGACACGGCCCAGACUUCUACGGAAGGCAGCAGUGGGGAAUAUUGGACAAUGGGCGAAAGCCUGAUCCAGCAAUACCGCGUGAAUGAUGAAGGCCUUAGGGUUGUAAAAUUCUUUUAGUCAGGGAAGAUAAUGACGGU